GCUACGGUGGACUGAAUGGUAAGGCGCGGGACUGCAAAUCCUGUCGGCGAAAGCCUCGUGGGUUCGAUUCCCACCCGUAGCUCCA
rnacentral:tRNA from 1 species